rnacentral:rRNA from 1 species
GACGGAGGAUGCAAGUGUUAUCCGGAAUCACUGGGCGUAAAGCGUCUGUAGGUGGUUUAGUAAGUCUAUUGUUAAAUCUUGAGGCUCAACUUCAAAUCAGCGAUGGAAACUGCUAGACUAGAGUGUGGCAGAGGUAAGAGGAAUUUCCAGUGGAGCGGUGAAAUGCGUAGAUAUUGGAAAGAACACCGAUGGCGAAGGCAUCUUACUGGGCCAUAACUGACACUCAGAGACGAAAGCUAGGGUAGCAAAUGGGAUUAGAUACCCCAGUAGUCUUAGCCGUAAACGAUGGAUACUAGAUGUUGUGCAUAAGCAGUAUCAUAGCUAACGCGUUAAGUAUCCCGCCUGGGGAGUACGCUCGCAAGGGUG